GUAGUGGUGGUUCAGUGGUAAAAUUCUUGCCUUCCAAGCAGGAGAUAUGGGUUCCAUUCGCAGCCAAUGCC
rnacentral:tRNA from 1 species